rnacentral:rRNA from 1 species
AUUGAACGCUGGCGGUAGGCUUUACACAUGCAAGUCGAACGGCAGCACGGGGGCAAUCGUGGUGGCGAGUGGGGGAGGGGUAAGUAAUACGUAGGCACGGGCAUGUUCGUGGGGGAUAAGGUAGCGAUAGGUAAGCUAAUACUGCAUACGAUCUGAGGAUGAAAGCGGGGGAGCUUGGGGCCUAGAGCGAUCGGAGCGGCCGAUGUCGGAUUAGGUAGUUGGAGGGGUAAAGGCCUACCAAGCCGACGAUCUGUAGCUGGUCUGAGAGGAUGACCAGCCACACUGGGACUGAGACACGGCCCAGACUCCUACGGGAGGCAGCAGUGGGGAAUAUUGGACAAAGGGCGCAAGCCUGAUCCAGCCAUACCGCGUGCAGGACGAAGGCCUUCGGGUUGUAAACUGCUUUUGUAUGGAACGAAAACUCUCAGGCUAAUACCUUGGGCUCAUGACGGUACCGAAAGAAUAAGCACCGGCUAACUACGUG